CGGGGUAUAGCGCAGUUGGUAGCGCGCCUCGUUUGGGACGAGGAGGUCAUGGGUUCAAAUCCCGUUACCCCGA
rnacentral:tRNA from 1 species